rnacentral:rRNA from 1 species
GAUGAACGCUGGCGGCGUGCCUAAUACAUGCAAGUCGAGCGAACAGAUGAGGAGCUUGCUCCUCUGACGUUAGCGGCGGACGGGUGAGUAACACGUGGAUAACCUACCUAUAAGACUGGGAUAACUUCGUGAAACCGGAGCUAAUACCGGAUAAUAUAUUGAACCGCAUGGUUCAAUAGUGAAAGACGGUUUUGCUGUCACUUAUAGAUGGAUCCGCGCCGGAUUAGCUAGUUGGUAAGGUAACGGCUUACCAAGGCGACGAUGCGUUGCUGACCUGAGAGGGUGAUCGGCCACACUGGAACUGAGACACGGUCCAGACUCCUACGGGAGGCAGCAGUAGGGAAUCUUCCGCAAUGGGCGAAAGCCUGACGGAGCAACGCCGCGUGAGUGAUGAAGGUCUUCGGAUCGUAAAACUCUGUUAUUAGGGAAGAACAAAUGUGUAAGUAACUAUGCACGUCUUGACGGUACCUAAUCAGAAAGCCACGGCUAACUACGUG